GCUAAACGCGAAGAACCUUACCAAGGCUUGACAUAUACGAGAACGGGCCAGAAAUGGUCAACUCUUUGGACACUCGUAAACAGGUGGUGCAUGGUUGUCGUCAGCUCGUGUCGUGAGAUGUUGGGUUAAGUCCCGCAACGAGCGCAACCCUCGUUCUUUGUUGCCAGCACGUAAUGGUGGGAACUCAAAGGAGACUGCCGGGGUCAACUCGGAGGAAGGUGGGGAUGACGUCAAAUCAUCAUGCCCCUUAUGUCUUGGGCUUCACGCAUGCUACAAUGGCCGGUACAAAGGGCUGCAAUACCGCAAGGUGGAGCGAAUCCCAAAAAGCCGGUCUCAGUUCGGAUUGAGGUCUGCAACUCGACUGCGUGAAGUCGGAAUCGCUAGUAAUCGCGAAUCAGAAUGUCGCGGUGAAUACGUUCCCGGGUC
rnacentral:rRNA from 1 species